UCUAAGGGUAGCCUGCCUUCCUUUGUUCUGCCUUCGGUCAAUCUAGACCGUCCGUAUCUGCUGCCCACGCCCGCUUGCAUCCUGGUUGUCCAACCCUAGCUGGCUGUCGCUGCUCGCUUCGCAUCAACCGUAUCCGCUUCUUGGGAAGGCUCCAUGCCUCGCCCCGCCGCAACAAACUCCUCCGCUCCACACCUCUCACCAAGACCGCCCCUUCCCUGCCCGCACACGGCGGCGCCCCAAUCUCUCCACCACGUGUGACGGCGACGGCGCCCCAUCCCUCUCCAGCGCGCGUAGAGGCGGCGUCCCUCCCUCUCCCGUGCGUGGCGGUGGCCGGAUGCGGUGGAGGCGGAGGGUAUCGCCAUCGGCGGUAGCGGCGGCGGCGGAGGAGGCGGCGCCAUGAGGGGGGCGCGGGCGGGAGUGGGCGCUGGCUGCGGCGGCAGGAGGUGGGACAGCGAGCCUGUGAGCUCUCAAGAUAAUUUCCAGGCUUCAGAACUUUGACAGGAGCAGUGUUGCAUCUGUUGUCACAGCUGCAGAUAAGGUGUGGACAAUACAUCUACCUGUCAACGCUUACUAGAGUUACUAUUUCGUUCUUGCAGACUUCUUUGAGACUAUAUGAUGUGAAAAGAGAGGUCUCUAUUACACUGUUUUUAUCUGUUGUUUUCUUCUAGAGGUACGAAUAAUCUAAGAUUGUGUCGCUGAUGAUUUUGUCAAGAAAGAAGUCUAGAAUCAGACGGCAGGUCAUUGUGCAGGACUCAAGUUUCCUUAUUCUUCAUCCAAGAUGUUAAUUGAAGUCAUUAUCAACACAAGUUAGCUGUAUAAUCAACCUACUCUCUUCGCAUACAAUCAACAUCUAUGAAAACCAGGAAGCAACCUAUAAUUUUCUCACAUGUGUGUAUUUUUUAAAGACAAAAUAGAAUGCGGCCUAUAAAUUAGUUAAAUUUAGAAAGUGCCUGUUAAAAGAGCCUUUUUUCUGCACAGGUGUUUAACCAAAAUUUGUCUAAAUCGGUGGAAAUAAAGCUGUUAUUGGUCUACUCAACCUUAUUCAUGAUCAUGUUACAAGUCCAUUACUUGUAAGCCACCAUAACAAACUUGCUGCAGGGAGGUGCAACCCAUGUUGACAUAGCAUGUGACAAGGACUUAGUAAAGCUUGCCAUGGAUGUUACCAACCUUCCGGUAAGCUAUCCAUUCAUAGGGUGAUUGGAACCUGUGGUUGUAAUUGCCGUUAUGGUUUCGCCUAGCAUCAGAGUUGGUUGUGCUAAGUGCAUUUCUGGGGAAAACUGCAUAUUGCAGAUCUAUGUCUCAUUUGUAGAUCCUUCAGCGUUCCAUUCUGCAGUACAAGCAGGAGCUAAAAUGGCCAGGCACUAAACUUCCGAUGCUAACCAUGCAAAAAUUUCAAAAGAAAGUCAUUUUUCUAUAACAUAUGUUUGCACCCUUAAACCAUCUUUCUUUAUGGUCUGUUUUAUUUGGUAAUUUAUCUAUCUGAUCAGUUUUCAAUUUUGUAUCGCAUUUCAAAAUUUUCAGAACAUAGGGAGCAUCAGCAUGCUUGGUAGUUGGCACUUCUUAGUCUUAAUUUGAAUGUGUUCACAGCUAUACUGAUAUACAAUUCUCCAAAUUGUUAAUGAAUAUGUUCUCAACAAGUAUGAUAUUGCAUCAAUUGGAUUUAGGAAUUAUGAAUAAGUAUAUUAUUGCCCUAGCAUUCUGAACUCUGUACCUAAAUUUAGCUUUAUUUCUCUAAGCCUGUUUCAUUCAGUUACCUUGGCCGCAACAGUUGUAAAGUAAAACUGAAUGCUACUAAAAACAUUAGUUCUAUUUUUAUGUAUUUUGAUUGUUCCAAGCAGCAUAAUUAAUUACAUAGUGAUUUUGAAGUGUUCUUUUCAGUUAGUCAGUACUUUGAUGUAUAUCAGGAUUAAUCUCUGGUGUUUAAUACAGUGUUUUGUAGCGAUUAAUGGUGUUGUCUCAAUGAACUCAUACAUGCGUUUUCUUCGAUCGUACCAGGAAUCGAAUGUUGCUGGUUAGAUUCAUUUAUGUUCUGUUCGUGCUCAUGGUGUCUUGUAGAAUAGAUAGAGUGUAUGCCUGUGUUCUCUUUGGAAAGUGUAUUUUGGUGCAACAACCUCUAUUUUUUGAACUCAGGUUGAUGCUUCUGUUUUUGAAUGUUUCUCCACAUAUAAUGAAUAUGGGUUGGGUUUAGAAGGUGCUAGACAGAGACCGAUUUUUUAAGGUUGACAGCCUAAUUAUGAGGCAUACAAUUUUUUGGCUCUCCUGUAUGACAUUUCAUGGAAACAAUAAUUUUCUCUGUAUCGAUGUUUGAAAGACCGUAACUAUUUGUUGAUAAGCUCUAGAUGGUGUUGGUUGACCUCUUACUGAUGCUAUUUUAUUUUAGAAUAUUUUUUUGUGGAAGUGGAAGGGUUCUAGCAGGGAUUCUCUUCCCUUCAGCCGAAAAUCAACAAGGAUCUAUUCAGGGUGGAACUAACUGACAUCGAGGUUUGCUCGAGCUCCCUCAGCACAUAGCUGAACAAGGUCCCGAUGACCGCUGUUAUCUGCGUACACUGGUCCAAAUCAUCUGCACUGACCAGAAGAGGCUCAGCUACGACACUUGAGGACGAUGACAGUGAACUGAAUAUAUUUUCACAAUUAGUCUAGAUUUAUGGAUGUGUGCCUUCAUUAAUGGUGACAGUAGUACUCAUGUGGCUCCAUUGCUCAUUGAGAUAUGGUGGCAUGUUGAAUUGUUGACCCCCCUACGUUGUAUCACAUAUUCACAUCUACUAGCACUGGUAGUUAUGAACUAGGACAACAACUCUUUUUAUUUUUCGUAUUAGCCUUCUUUGAAAUGAUCAUGCGAAUAUUGAUAUUUUCACAUUGUUUUUUUUUGCGAUUUUAGCCUUAAUUUUCAUAUAACUAGCUCAUAUCGUCAUUGAAUAUAAGUCUUUAGGUUGUUAUGUUUAGGCUGUCUCUAGCAUCCUUUGUAUCCCACACCUUAUCUCAUUCCCUAUAUCGAACUUCAUUGUAGUCUACAAUGCAAAACAAUAUUUUUGCACGGUCAUAUGCAGGCUCUGCUGAGCACGGCCUUAGAGCAUCAUGCUUCCCAAGUUAACAGUACUCUCAUGGCUAUAUCUUAAAUCUGAACAUGAAGCUCAUUCCAAUGUAGAGGAUAUCAAUGAGUAGAGUUCGGUUACUUAAAUCAUACAGAUUAGUAGUACUCUACUUUGUAAACUUUGCUUCAAAGCCUUGUAAUCCUUUGUGCAUGGAGCUUUUACGUCUGAGAAACUGAGCCUACAAAGACUUGACUUCAUUUGGCAUGUUAUGCUUGUUGCUAGCUGAAUGAAUUAGAAUCCAGCCUUUUAUGGUUUAUGAGCAAGCGGUAGCUUAAGCACAUAGCUAUAUAUCUUCCUGCUAUUUUAAACUGAAGAUGUUUGAUGUGCUACACUUGGUGUUGGCAUAUAUUUUUGGGUGCUAACAUUUGUGAUUCUGCUGCAGUAAGACACGUGGUAUGGGAGUUGGGCGCAAGCUCAAGACCCACAUAAGGAACUAGAGGUGGGCUGACAAAGCCUGCAAGAAGAGCCAUCUCGGCAACGAGUGGAAGAAACCCUUUGCUGGGUCAUCUCACGCAAAGGGAAUCAUCCUUGAGAAGAUCGACAUUGAGACUAAGCAGCCUAACUCUACUAUCCGUAAGUGCGCUCGUGUCCAGCUGGUGAAGAACGGGAAGAAGAUUGCUGCCUUUGUGCCAAACGAUGGUUGCCUGAACUACAUCGAGGAGAACGGUGCGAGAGCGGGGAAGGGAGCGACGGUGGUGCAUGGUGAAUAAGCAGAUUUUGUGAUGCUCCUUUUUGGACGCUUUGCGCUCGUGUAGCUGCUAAGGCACAAGAAAAGAGCAAACGGAGAGGAAUUUCGAAUUGGCAGGUGCUGCCUCCACCUGGUAACGGUGGGCUGAAAUACUAUGGUUGUGAGCAGUAAAUUCGACCAAAUCAUCUGCUCCUCAGAAGCCAUCUGCGCCUCGACCGGACAGUGACAUAGGUGAUCCACAGCAUAUUGUCGCUGUUCUAUAUAUCAGGGUGACUAUUCCGUGGUUUCUUUAUCCAGGAAGGAUACCCGUUCGACUAUGUGUUUGACCGGACCAUUCUAAUGUAUCCUCAAAUAGGCGCCAACCCGUGAACCAGGGUGAUCUUAUUGUAUUGGGAGCUGAUCUUAUUGUAAUGGCAAUAAGUGUAGUUGAUGGAUGGACUGAUGCUGACACUAAACUUAUGGAGCAUCUUUUGGACAUUGCGGGGCCGCCCGCUUCUUCCCCUACGACAACUGCGUUGACAUGAGGUCCACGGGCACCAACAAGGUUAGCCUCCGGUCUGCUUGGCUCAGUCCCCUUCCUAAAUUCUGAUUCCAUGUCCUUGGAUUUGGGCGAGACCGUCGUCAAGGAUGGAGCAAUGUAGGGGGAGACAGUGCGUAGAACCUAUUCUUGCUACAUGAACUCAACAGGGGUUCUUCACGGGUGGAUUUUAUUUGUUGCAUUCUUGGAAAAUGGAAAGUGAGAUGAAAAUAUCAAAUGAAAUUUUGUGGUUGUAUACGGUUCAAUCCAACGAGUGAUCAGGGAAAUAAAAGAUAAAGGACCGCUUAUAUCAGUUCCUAGCUUCCUGCUGUUAUAGACAAUAGGUCUUCCAAAAAAUGAUUAUUAAUGGGAUACUAUCACAAGACAUUGCAUUAAAGGAGUUGGGUGAGUAUUGUAUACCUGUUAUUAUUUAGAUUUGUGCUGUAAUAUAGAGAUUUAAUGAAUGUACAUUGUUAGUGUUUGCAGUUAGCAUAUUUGUGGGGGCAUUGUCUGGAAUUUAGCUGUAGUUUCUCCAGAAUUGUGCCACAUAAAAUGGUGGGCUAGGAUUUUGAUUGUGUCCUGGAUGACUGAGUAUAUGUCUUUGACUGUUGCCUUUUAUUGCUAUAUGUGAGGCCGUUUUAUUGCGCUGUUGUGCACGCGGUUGUAGGGAGGGCGUAUUAUGGCGGCUACGAGGGACCGAUGUUCCUGUGUGGCGGUGACAACGACACCGUGGAGCCAAGGUCUCAAACAAAAUUCUUGGACUUAUUUCGUUGGAGGGAAUUGGACAUCUCGAGAUCUAAAUGUGUAUAAAAGAUCCAAAUGUGUAUAGAACAUAUAUUUUUUAUGGUUAUCAAAUAUGAUUGUGUGCAAAGCAUGGACAUUUUACUAUAACAAUGAAACACACAUUUGUACAUAAUUCAUCAUGGUAUUAUAUGUUGCCAUUGCAACGCACGGGCACUCACCUAGUAUAACGAUAAUAGA